rnacentral:rRNA from 1 species
GGCGUGUUUAACACAUGCAAGUCGAACGAUGAAGUCCUUCGGGAUGGAUUAGUGGCGCACGGGUGAGUAAUAUAUAGUUAAUGUACCUUCAAGACUGGGAUAGCCACUGGAAACGGUGAUUAAUACUAGAUAUACCUCUUUAACAUAAGUUAGAGUGGGAAAUUWUUUUCGCUUGARGAUCRGACUAUAUCCCAUCARUUUGUUGGUGAGGUAAUGGCUCACCMAGGCARUGACGGGWASCGGGUUUGAAAGGAUGAUCCGCCACAMUGGUACUGAGACACGGACCAGACUCCURCGGGRGGSAGCAGUSASGAMUAUUGCAYAAUGGGGGAAACCCUGAUGCAGCAACGCCGCGUGGAGGAUGACGCAUUUCGGUGUGWAAACUCCUUUUAUGAGUCAAGAAAAUGACGGUAGCUCAUGAAUAAGCACCGGCUAACUCCGUGCCAGCAGCCGCGGUAAUACGGAGGGUGCAAGCGUUACUCGGAAUCACUGGGCGUAAAGGACGCGUAGGCGGGUUGGUAAGUCAGAUGUGAAAUCCUACAGCUCAACUGUAGAACUGCAUUUGAAACUACCGACCUAGAGUAUGGGAGGGGGAGAUGGAAUUAGUGGUGUAGGGGUAAAAUCCGUAGAUAUCACUAGGAAUACCAAAAGCSRARGSCGAUCUCCUGGAAACAUUACUGGACGCU